rnacentral:lncRNA from 1 species
CCGCUCUGCGCCGUCGCCCCGCCCACACGCCGCCACCCUCGCGUCAGUUGUCGCUCCGCGCCUGCGCCCGUUGUCUCCCUGCUCGCUCCGGGUCCCGGCGCCGCGCCAUGUGGGCUGCGGCGGGCGGGCUGUGGCGCUCCCGCGCGGGUCUCCGGGCCCUGUUCCGUAGCCGCGAUGCUGCGCUAUUUCCAGGCUGCGAGCGGGGACUUCACUGCUCUGCUGUCUCCUGCAAGAACUGGCUCAAGAAAUUUGCCUCGAAAACCAAAAAAAAGGUUUGGUAUGAAAGUCCUUCCUUGGGUUCUCACUCGCCCUCCCCCAGCCCCUGCUGUGUGACUUGGUGAGUUUGGAGUUGUAACGCUGCCCUUGGGGUGUGCUCUUCUUCCUGAUGGAGACUUACAAACCAUCCAAGUUGGAAUUCCUCAUGAGGAGCACCUCAAAGAAAACCAGGAAGGAAGACCAUGCGCGCCUGAGGGCCCUGAACGGCCUCCUCUAUAAGGCACUGACAGACCUGCUGUGUACCCCUGAAGUGAGUCAGGAGCUGUAUGACCUUAACGUGGAGCUCUCCA